rnacentral:rRNA from 1 species
UAUGCUUCUCCUAAAGACUAAGCCAUGCAUGUCUUCGAAUAAGAGGAAGCAAUUCUCUCUGAAUCUGCGAACGGCUCCGCAAACCAGUUGUAAACUAUAGCAAGCAAGCCUGGGUUCCCUUCACGGGGGGCCUGGGCAACACGGAUAACCCUGGUAAUUCUGAGGCUAAUACGAGAACGCAAUCUCUGGUCGACCUGGCAACGGGAAGGCUGGUAGGCGUACAAGUUUUUGUCGCGAGUAAUCGCCAGGAGAGGAUGUACGCCUGGACCGCGCUAAAAACAGAUGGGUGUUCCGGCCUUCACGGGUUGGGGUGCCUGCCUGAGCGGCUCUUGCUGUGUGCUUCUGACCUAUCAGCUUGACGGCAGCGUAAAGGACAUGCUAUGGUUACAACGGGUACAGAGGAUUAGGGUUCGAUCCUGGAGAGUGGGCCUGAGAGAUUGCUCAUACUUCUAAGGAAGGCAGCAGGCGCGCAACGUUCCCCUUGUGCAAUGCAUGAGGGCGUUAGGGGACAUAUGGAUGCCUGCCCAUUGGGUGGGCAAUUCAAAUGGGUUUGUUGUAAACAGGCUCUCGAGUAACAAUUAGAGGA